rnacentral:sRNA from 12 species
GGCCGGUUGAUUCGUCCCGGCCUGUGGAACGGGUGAACAGGAGACGGAAACCCCGAGCCAAAUGCGGCGGUCGGAAUGGCGAAGC